rnacentral:rRNA from 1 species
CCUACGGGUAGCUGCAGUUAGGAAUAUUUGUCCAUGGGCGAGAGCCUGAACCAGCCAAGUCGCGUGAAGGAUGACGGCCCUACGGGUUGUAAACUUCUUUUGUCAGGGAGCAAUUGAGUCCACGUGUGGGCUUAGCGAGAGUACCUGAAGAAAAAGCAUCGGCUAAUUCCGUGCCAGCAGCCGCGGUAAUACGGAGGAUGCGAGCGUUAUCCGGAUUUAGUGGGGUUCAAGGGUGCGUAGGCGGAAUAUCAAGUCAGCGGUAAUAAUUCGGGGCUCAACCCCGUCGUGCCGUUGAAACUGAUGUUCUUGAGUGGGCGAGAAGUAUGCGGAAUGCGUGGUGUAGCGGUGAAAUGCAUAGAUAUCACGCAGAACUCCGAUUGCGAAGGCAGCAUACCGGCGCCCAACUGACGCUGAAGCACGAAAGCGUGGGUAUCGAACAGGAUUAGAUACCCGAGUAGUC